AAGCGGUGGAUGAUGUGGAUUAAUUCGAUGCAACGCGAAGAACCUUACUACCCUUGACAUGUCCGGAACUUGCCAGAGAUGGCUUGGUGCCCGAAAGGGAAUCGGAACACAGGUGCUGCAUGGCUGUCGUCAGCUCGUGUCGUGAGAUUGUUGGGUUAAGUCCCGCAACGAGCGCAACCCUUAUCAUUAGUUGCUACGCAAGGGCACUCUAAUGAGACUGCCGGUGACAACCGGAGGAAGGUGGGAUGACGUCAAGUCCUCAUCGGCCCUUAGUGGGUAGGGCUUCACACGUCAUACAAUGGUCGGUACAGAGGGUUGCCAAGCCGCGAGGCGGAGCCAAUCCCACAAAGCCGAUCGUAGUCCGGAUUGUUCUCUGCAACUCGAGAGCAUGAAGUCGGAAUCGCUAGUAAUCGCAGGUCAGCAUACUGCGGUGAAUACGUUCCCGGGUCUU
rnacentral:rRNA from 1 species